UACGUAGGGUGCAAGCGUUAAUCGGAAUUACUGGGCGUAAAGCGUGCGCAGGCGGUUUUGUGAGUUUGUCGUGAAAUCCCCGGGCUUAACCUGGGAAUUGCGAUGAAGACUGCAAGGCUAGAAUCUGGCAGAGGGGGGUAGAAUUCCACGUGUAGCAGUGAAAUGCGUAGAGAUGUGGAGGAACACCGAUGGCGAAGGCAGCCCCCUGGGUCAAGAUUGACGCUCAUGCACGAAAGCGUGGGGAGCAAACAGG
rnacentral:rRNA from 1 species